CCUACGGGAGGCAGCAGUGGGGAAUAUUGCACAAUGGGCGCAAGCCUGAUGCAGCCAUGCCGCGUGUAUGAAGAAGGCCUUCGGGUUGUAAAGUACUUUCAGCGGGGAGGAAAAGAACUGUACCGGGAGAAUAAGCCCCGGCUAACUCCGUCCCCCCAGCCGCGGUAAUACCAAGGGGGGGGCCGUUGUUCUGAAUUACUGGGCGAUCAGCGGGCGCGAGUUGUGAUUGUUGAACGCAGGCUCCACGGAAUUAAACUCCAGAACUCGCUGGCCACCUCCACGGCUUAAAUCCAGGAGAGGUCGGUGGAAUUACGAGUGUAGUGGUGAAAUUCGUUGAUAUUCGGAAGAACACCUGCGGCGAAGGCGGGGGGCAGGUCUGGUAUUGACGCCCACGUGCUAACGCGUGGGGAACAAACAUGGAUUAGAUACCCUGGUAG
rnacentral:rRNA from 1 species